rnacentral:rRNA from 1 species
AGUGAUUUUUUUUUAAAUGGCCGCAGUACCUUGACUGUGCUAAGGUAGCAUAAUCAAUUGGCUUCUAAUUAAAGUCUAGAAUGAAAGGGAAUAUGAAGUAAUUCUGUCUUAGAGGAUUUUUUUUGAAUUUAUUUAAUUGAUGAAAAUAUCAAUUUAUAGAAAAAAGACGAGAAGACCCUUAGAGUUUUUAAUUUUUUUUAUUUUUUGUUGGGGCGACAAGUAAACAAAUAACUUUACGAUGCGACUUAAAUCGAUUUUUUAAUAAGAAUAAUAAAACUACCUUAGGGAUAACAGCAUUAUAUUUUUUUUAUGAUUGUGACCUCGAUGUUGGACUAGGAACUUUACGGCUAGCCGUCAAAAAAGAUUUGUUCUGUUCGAACAAUUUUAUCCUACAUGAUCUGAG